UACGGGGGGAAGAAGGCGAGUUCCCUACGGGGUGCAGCAGGCGCGAAAACUGUUACAAUGCGGGAAACCGUGAUAAGGGGACACCGAGUGCCAGCAUCAUAUGCUGGCUGUCCGGAUGUGUAAAAUACAUCCGUUAGCAAGGGCCGGGCAAGACCGGUGCCAGCCGCCGCGGUAACACCGGCGGCCCGAGUGGUGAUCGUGAUUAUUGGGUCUAAAGGGUCCGUAGCCGGUUUGGUCAGUCCUCCGGGAAAUCUGAUAGCUCAACUAUUAGGCUUUCGGGGGAUACUGCCAGACUUGGAACCGGGAGAGGUAAGAGGUACUCCAGGGGUAGGA
rnacentral:rRNA from 1 species